rnacentral:misc_RNA from 1 species
UGGUUCUGGCAUCGAUGAAGAACGCAGCGAAAUGCGAUAAGUAAUGUGAAUUGCAGAAUUCAGUGAAUCAUCGAAUCUUUGAACGCACAUUGCGCCCCUUAGUAUUCUGAAGGGCAUGCCUGUUCGAGCGUCAUUUCAAACCCUCAAGCUUUAUGCUUGGUGUUGGGCUAUCGUCAAAUUUUUUUUGACGUGCCUGAAACUCAUUGGCAGUAGAGUUGAAUUCUUUAGCGUAGUUAAAAAUCAAUUUCGCUCUGGUAGUUUAGGCACUUCUCGCCAAAUUUAACACAAUUUUUUUUUUUUAUGAUUUUGACCUCGGAUCAGGUAGGGAUACCCGCUGA